rnacentral:rRNA from 1 species
AGUGAACGCUGGCGGCAGGCCUAACACAUGCAAGUCGAACGGCAGCACAGUAAGAGUUUGCUCUUACGGGUGGCGAGUGGCGGACGGGUGAGGAAUACAUCGGAAUCUACUUUUUCGUGGGGGAUAACGUAGGGAAACUUACGCUAAUAUCGCAUACGACCUACGGGUGAAAGCAGGGGAUCUUCGGACCUUGCGCGAUUGAAUGAGCCGAUGUCGGAUUAGCUAGUUGGCGGGGUAAAGGCCCACCAAGGCGACGAUCCGUAGCUGGUCUGAGAGGAUGAUCGGCGACACUGGAACUGAGACACGGUCCAGACUCCUACGGGAGGCAGCAGUGGGGAAUAGUGGACAAUGGGCGCAAGCCUGAUCCAGCCAUACCGCGUGGGUGAAGAAGGCGUUCGGGUUGUAAAGCCCUUUUGUUGGGAAAGAAAAGCAGCAGGUUAAUACCCCGCUGUUCUGACGGUACCCAAAGAAUAAGCACCGGCUAACUUCGUG